rnacentral:rRNA from 1 species
UACGAAGGGAGCUAGCGUUGUUCGGAAUCAUUGGGCGUAAAGAGCGCGUAGGCGGCCCGAUAAGUCCGCUGUGAAAGUCAAGGGCUUAACCCUUGAAUGCCGGUGGAAACUGUCGGGCUAGAGUCCGGAAGAGGCGAGUGGAAUUCCUAGUGUAGCGGUGAAAUGCGCAGAUAUUAGGAAGAACACCGGUGGCGAAGGCGGCUCUCUGGAACGGUACUGACGCUGAGACGCGAAAGCGUGGGGAGCGAACAGG